UGAACGCUAGCGACAGGCUACACAUGCAAGUCGAGGGGCAGCAUAGAAGUAGCAAUACUUGGUGGCGACCGGCGCACGGGUGAGUAACGCGUAUGCAACCUACCUAUCGAGAGGGGAAUAACCCGGCGAAAGUCGGACUAAUACCGCAUAAAACAGGGGCACCGCAUGGUGAUAUUGUUAAGAAUUCGCUGAUAGAUGGGCAUGCGUUCCAUUAGGUAGUUGGUGAGGUAACGGCUCACCAAGCCGACGAUGGAUAGGGGAACUGAGAGGUUGGUCCCCCACACUGGUACUGAGACACGGACCAGACUCCUACGGGAGGCAGCAGUGAGGAAUAUUGGUCAAUGGGCGGGAGCCUGAACCAGCCAAGUCGCCGUGAAGGAAGAAGGAUCUAUGGUUCGUAAACUUCUUUUGCAGGGGAAUAAAGUGCAGGACGUGUCCUGUUUUGUAUGUACCCUGAGAAUAAGGAUCGGCUAACUCCGUGCCAGCCGCGGC
rnacentral:rRNA from 1 species